rnacentral:rRNA from 1 species
GUAGGGGCCAAACGUUUGUCCGGAUUUAUUGGGCGUAAAGGGCUCGUAGGCGGUUCAACAAGUCGGUCGUGAAAGCCCGGGGCUCAACCCCGGGACGCCGGUCGAAACUGUUGUGACUAGGGUCCGGUAGAGGUGAGUGGAAUUCUCGGUGUAGCGGUGGAGUGCGCAGAUAUCGAGAGGAACACCAGUAGCGAAGGCGGCUCACUGGGCCGGUACCGACGCUGAGGAGCGAAAGCAUGGGGAGCAAACAGGAUUAGAUACCCUGGUAGUCCAUGCCGUAAACGAUGAACACUAGGUGUGGCGGACUCAUUGACGUCUGCCGUGCCGAAGCUAACGCAUUAAGUGUUCCGCCUGGGGAGUACGGCCGCAAGGCUA